UACGUAGGUGGCAAGCGUUGUCCGGAAUUAUUGGGCGUAAAGCGCGCGCAGGCGGUUCUUUAAGUCUGAUGUGAAAUCUUGCGGCUCAACCGCAAGCGGUCAUUGGAAACUGGGGAACUUGAGUGCAGAAGAGGAAAGUGGAAUUCCACGUGUAGCGGUGAAAUGCGUAGAGAUGUGGAGGAACACCAGUGGCGAAGGCGACUUUCUGGUCUGUAACUGACGCUGAGGCGCGAAAGCGUGGGGGAGCAAACAGG
rnacentral:rRNA from 1 species